CCCUUAGAUGUUCUGGGCCGCACGCGCGCUACACUGAUGCAUUCAACGAGUCUAAAACCUGGUCUGAUAGGGCUGGGUAAUCUUUUGAAAGUGCAUCGUGAUUGGGAUAGAUGAUUGCAAUUCUUCAUCUUCAACGAGGAAUGCCUAGUAAACGCAAGUCAUCAGCUUGCAUUGAUUACGUCCCUGCCCUUUGUACACACCGCCCGUCGCUCCUACCGAUUGAAUGAUCCGAUGAAUACCAUGGAUUGAGAGUACGAAUGGGUUCGCUCAUUUCUGCUGCUCGAGAAGUGGAGUAAAUCUUAUCAUUUAGAGGAAGGAGAAGCCGUAACA
rnacentral:rRNA from 1 species